UACAGAGGUCUCAAGCGUUGUUCGGAUUCAUUGGGCGUAAAGGGUGCGUAGGUGGCAGGGUAAGUCGGAUGUGAAAUCCCCGGGGCUCAACCCCCGGAACUGCAUUCGAUACUGCUUUGCUAGAGUACUGGAGAGGAGAUUGGAAUUUACGGUGUAGCAGUGAAAUGCGUAGAUAUCGUAAGGAAGACCGGUGGCGAAGGCGGAUCUCUGGACAGUUACUGACACUGAGGCACGAAGGCCAGGGGAGCAAACGGG
rnacentral:rRNA from 1 species